AAACUUUCAACAACGGAUCUCUUGGUUCUGGCAUCGAUGAAGAACGCAGCGAAAUGCGAUAAGUAAUGUGAAUUGCAGAAUUCAGUGAAUCAUCGAAUCUUUGAACGCACAUUGCGCCCCUUGGUAUUCCGAGGGGCAUGCCUGUUCGAGC
rnacentral:rRNA from 1 species